rnacentral:rRNA from 1 species
CCUACGGGAGGCAGCAGUGGGGAAUAUUGCACAAUGGGGGAAACCCUGAUGCAGCAACGCCGCGUGAGUGAAGAAGUAUUUCGGUAUGUAAAGCUCUAUCAGCAGGGAAGAAAAUGACAGUACCUGACUAAGAAGCCCCGGCUAACUACGUGCCAGCAGCCGCGGUAAUACGUAGGGGGCAAGCGUUAUCCGGAUUUACUGGGUGUAAAGGGAGCGUAGACGGCUGCGCAAGUCAGAAGUGAAAGCCCGGGGCUCAACCGCGGGACUGCUUUUGAAACUGUGUAGCUAGGGUGCAGGAGAGGUAAGUGGAAUUCCUGGUGUAGCGGUGAAAUGCGUAGAUAUUAGGAGGAACACCGGUGGCGAAGGCGGCUUACUGGACUGUAACGGACGUUGAGGCUCGAAAGCGUGGGGAGCAAACAGGAUUAGAUACCCGUGUGUC